UGGGGAAUUUUGGACAAUGGGCGAAAGCCUGAUCCAGCAAUGCCGCGUGUGUGAAGAAGGCCUUCGGGUUGUAAAGCACUUUUGUCCGGAAAGAAAUCCUUGGCUCUAAUACAGUCGGGGGAUGACGGUACCGGAAGAAUAAGCACCGGCUAACUACGUGCCAGCAGCCGCGGUAAUACGUAGGGUGCAAGCGUUAAUCGGAAUUACUGGGCGUAAAGCGUGCGCAGGCGGUUUGCUAAGACCGAUGUGAAAUCCCCGGGCUCAACCUGGGAACUGCAUUGGUGACUGGCAGGCUAGAGUAUGGCAGAGGGGGGUAGAAUUCCACGUGUAGCAGUGAAAUGCGUAGAGAUGUGGAGGAAUACCGAUGGCGAAGGCAGCCCCCUGGACCAAUACUGACGCUCAUGCACGAAAGCGUGGGGAGCAAACAGGAUUAGAUACCCUGGUAGUCCACGCCCUAAACGAUGUCAACUAGUUGUUGGGGAUUCAUUUCCUUAGUAACGUAGCUAACGCGUGAAGUUGACCGCCUGGGGAGUACGGUCGCAAGAUUAAAACUCAAAGGAAUUGACGGGGUCAUAGCUGUUUCCU
rnacentral:rRNA from 1 species